CAAAAAAAAGGGCAAAAGGGAGAAAUGUGCCAAAAUGAAGAUGAAUCAGGUGGUUUUCCCAGGGUGAGGCUCAUCCAUUGCACUCCGGGUGUGCUGACCCCUGCGAUUUCCCCAAAUGCGGGAAACUCGACUGCAUAAUUUGUGCUGGGACCACUUUCCAUCUGGAAAUC
rnacentral:snRNA from 11 species